UACGUAGGGUGCGAGCGUUGUCCGGAAUUAUUGGGCGUAAAGGGCUCGUAGGCGGUUUGUCGCGUCGACCGUGAAAACUUGGGGCUCAACCCCAAGCCUGCGGUCGAUACGGGCAGGCUCGAGUUCGGUAGGGGAGACUGGAAUUCCCGGUGUAGCGGUGAAAUGCGCAGAUAUCGGGAGGAACACCUAUGGCGAAGGCAGCUCGCUGGGACGUUACUGACGCUGAGACGCGAAAGCGUGGGGAGCAAACAGG
rnacentral:rRNA from 1 species